UACGUAGGUGGCAAGCGUUGUCCGGAAUUACUGGGCGUAAAGGGCGCGUAGGCGGCGUGACAAGUCACUUGUGAAAUCUCCGGGCUUAACUCGGAACGGCCAAGUGAUACUGUCGUGCUAGAGUGCAGAAGGGGCAAUCGGAAUUCUUGGUGUAGCGGUGAAAUGCGUAGAUAUCAAGAGGAACACCUGAGGUGAAGACGGGUUGCUGGGCUGACACUGACGCUGAAGCGCGAAAGCUAGGGGAGCAAACGGG
rnacentral:rRNA from 1 species